CAUUAUACCUUACUACUGGAUAACCGUGGUAAUUCUAGAGCUAAUACAUACACUAAAAUCUUGGCUUCGGCCCGGAUGUAUUUAUUAGUUACAAAACCAAUACAGGGUUAAACCUGUUUUUUGGUGAAUCAUAAUAAUUCUUGCUUUGACGGAUCGCGUAUAGCGACGUUGCAUAUCAUUUUCUGCCCUAUCACCGCUUUGGAUUGUACGGUAGUGGCGUACGAAUGGUUAUAACGGGUAACGGGGAAUAAGGGUUCGAUUCCGGAGAGGGAGCCUGAGAAACGGCUACCACAUCCAAGGAAGGCAGCAGGCGCGCAAAUUACCCAAUUCCGACACGGAGAGGUAGUGACAAUAAAUAACAAUGCAGGGCCUUAUGGUCUUGCAAUUGGAAUGAGUACAAUUUAAAUCCCAUAACGAGGAUCCAUUGGAGGGCAAGUCUGGUGCCAGCAGCCGCGGUAAUUCCAGCUCCAAUAGCGUAUAUCAAAGUUGCUGCAGUUAAAACGUCCGUAGUCGAAGUUUAGUCUUGGAUGCUGUGCUAUAGGCUUCAUUGUCUAUGGUUUCAGUUAUCUAGACUCGUUAGUUCUGCUUCUUUCUACCUCGGUAGUUGGAUCAGACCAUACCCAUGAGCAAAUCAGAGUGUUUAAAGCAGGCUUUAUGCCGGAAUGUUGGAGCAUGGAAUAAUGAAAUAUGACAUUGUUGGUCUAUAUUUCGUUGGUUUUAAGACCAAUAUGUAAUGAUGAAGAGAAACGGUUGGGGGCAUUUGGAUUUGGUCGCUAGAGGUGAAAUUCUUGGAUUGACCAAAGACAAACAUAGGCGAAAGCAAUUGACCCAGGACGUUUUCAUUGAUCAAGGUCGAAAGUUAAGGGAUCGAAGACGAUUAGAUACCGUCGUAGUCUUAUACCACAAACGUUGCCGACUAGUGAUCAGACAUGACCGAUUGAGGCGUGUUUGGGAACUAAGCGAAAGUAAAGUUUUUGGGCUCUGGGGGGAGUAUUGUCGCAAGGCUGAAACUUAAAGGAAUUGACGGAAGGGCACCACCAGGAGUGGAGCCUGCGGCU
rnacentral:rRNA from 1 species